GAUUGAACGCUGGCGGCAUGCCUUACACAUGCAAGUCGAACGGCAGCACGGGGGCAACCCUGGUGGCGAGUGGCGAACGGGUGAGUAAUGCAUCGGAACGUGCCCCGUAGCGGGGGAUAACCAGUCGAAGACUGGCUAAUACCGCAUACGCUCACGGAGGAAAGCAGGGGAUCGCAAGACCUUGCACUAUGGGAGCGGCCGAUGCCCGAUUAGCUAGUUGGUGAGGUAAGGCUCACCAAGGCGACGAUCGGUAGCUGGUUUGAGAGAACGACCAGCCACACUGGGAC
rnacentral:rRNA from 1 species